AACGAACGCUGGCGGCAGGCUUAACACAUGCAAGUCGAGCGCCCCGCAAGGGGAGCGGCAGACGGGUGAGUAACGCGUGGGAAUCUACCCUUUUCUACGGAAUAACGCAGGGAAACUUGUGCUAAUACCGUAUGUGCCCUUCGGGGGAAAGAUUUAUCGGGAAAGGAUGAGCCCGCGUUGGAUUAGCUAGUUGGUGGGGGUAAAGGCCUACCAAGGCGACGAUCCGUAACUGGUCUGAGAGGAUGAUCAGCCACAUUGGGACUGAGACACGGCCCAAACUCCUGCGGGAGGCAGCAGUGGGGAAUAUUGGACAAUGGGCGCAAGCCUGAUCCAGCCAUGCCGCGUGAGUGAUGAAGGCCCUAGGGUUGUAAAGCUCUUUCACCGGUGAAGAUAAUGACGGUAACCGGAGAAGAAGCCCCGGCUAACUUCGUGCCAGCCGCCGCGGUAACAC
rnacentral:rRNA from 1 species